ACUGUACGUGGGCCGUGACCCUGUCCUUCGGGUGAGCAAAUCCAGCCAGAGUGUCAGCUAGAGCUUUGAACUGGAAAGCACUUUCGUUCCCAUCAGGCCAGGCACCUUGUAGGUGCCAAAAAAUAAAUUGCAAACCCAAUUCAACCCGGCCUUCGGUGUAAGUGAGACGUGAGUUUCACCGCAGAGAGGAGACGCCAGACAUUGCCUAUGUGCUUACUCUUCAGAAAAAAGGGCACCGGGGCUCACGUCCAGUGGGAGAGCAAAGGCUGCACCCCAGGAAGGGACAGAGGCGGAGGAGGCAGAGAAACAAGGUCUGGGGCUGAGAGCCUCAGAAUCUGGUACUGGGGUUGCCGGCUGAUGAAGGUGAGCGGGAAGUAACAUCACAUCAUUUCAAGUCUGAUCGCCACGCCGGUGGGCUUGCAGCAGCCCUCAGAACACCUCCCCCUCCACAUCUGGUUUUCACGGCGCAAGCUCCCAUCCGUUUCCUCAGUUAGCACCUUCCCGCAUUGACGGUUACUUUCAACCUUGAGCACCAUUAUUGCAUUCCCUAAGGUAUGUCCUAACGGCUGUCCCUGCAACCUACCCCCAAGAUUGCACCCUCCCAAAGUGACUGGCCUAGAACACAAACAAAAACCAAACACAACGAUGUGUUAUGGGGCUGAACUGUUUCUCCUCCCUCAACCUCCCUUUAUUGAAGCCCUAACCCCUAGUGCCUCAGAAUGUGACUGUGACUGAGAGGGUCUGUAAAGAGGUAAAUUCAAAUGAGGUCAUUAGGGUGAGCACUCAUCCCGUAUCAGCAGGGUCCUUUUAAGAAGAGGAAAUUUAGGGGUGUCUGGUGGCUCAGUCAGUUAAACGUCCAACUCUUGAUGUCAGCUCAGGUCAUGAGCUCAUUGUUCAUGAGUUUGAGCCUCUGCACUGUCAAUGCGGAGCCUGCUUGGGAUUCUCUCUCUCCCUCUCUCUCUGCCUCUCCCCCCCACCUCACCUUUUAAAUGUAUUUUCGAGAGGGGGGAGGGGCAGAGAGAGAGGGGGAGACACAGUCCAAAGCAGGCUCCAGGGUGUGACCUGUCAGCACAGAGCCUGGUGCGGGGCUUGAACCCAUGAACUGCGAGAUCUUGACCUGAGCUGAAGUUGGAUGCUCAACCAACUGAGCCACCCGGGUGCCCCUUCCCCCUCCCUUUUUAAGCGUUCUUUCUGUCUCAAAAUAAAGAAACUUUACAUAAAAAAAGAAGAAGAGGAAAUUUAGACAGACACAGAGCAAGGACAAGGUGAAGACAUCAGACAGCCAUCCAUAAGCCAAGGAGAGAGAGGACAGGAACAGAUCUUCCCUCGGCUCUCAGAAAGAACUAGCCCUGUUGACACCUCGAUCUUGGACUUCUUUCUAGACUACAGAACUGGGAGACAAACUGCUGUCUAAGCAACCUGGUCUGGUCCGUGCUACUUUGUUAGAGCAGCCCAAGCGCACUUCGUACGGUGAUUAAAUUCAGAAAGUGGACCACGACCCUCCAUGGCCAGACUCCUCUUCCCACGUCUUCUGGUUUGGCGAAGCAUGGAGGUUGUAGGAUCAGGGACGUGUCACCUGGUUUUCUAGGUGGGAACCAGGUUAAGCGACUUGUCUGAGGUUGCAUCGUCGUCUCCAGCCCGUGGGCGCCUGUCAGAGGGUCCCAGUUAGGGCAGCGCUUCUGCUUUUGGAGGAUGAGUGGGCGCUGCCCCCCCCCCCCCCCCCCGCCAAGCAUCACCCCGAGCAGCCCGCAUAGUGCUGCUGCUGCUUUAUUUCUAGGAAUCUAGUCCUGUCUUACUGUUCUAGGCUUUGCACUCCCUUCUGUUUCAAUAUUACCAUUAACGUAAUGAUCCCCAGCACCAUCAAUACAGUGGAAUAAAACGGGUGCCCUCAAAACAGGCA